rnacentral:rRNA from 1 species
UACGUAGGGGGCAAGCGUUGUCCGGAAUCAUUGGGCGUAAAGCGCGUGUAGGCGGCUUGUUGCGUCAGCUGUGAAAACCCGCAGCUCAACUGUGGGCUUGCAGCUGAUACGGGCAGGCUUGAGUUCGGUAGGGGAGACUGGAAUUCCUGGUGUAGCGGUGAAAUGCGCAGAUAUCAGGAAGAACACCCGUGGCUAAGGCGGCUCUCUAGUACGGUACUGACGCUGAGACGCGAAAGCCAGGGGAGCGAAUGGG